rfam:Micromonospora cremea strain DSM 45599 genome assembly, contig: Ga0074693_12
GGCCCCGUCGUCUAGUGGCCCAGGACGCCGCCCUCUCAAGGCGGUAGCGCCGGUUCGAAUCCGGUCGGGGCUA